rnacentral:rRNA from 1 species
AGUGAACGCUGGCGGUAGGCCUAACACAUGCAAGUCGAACGGCAGCACAGUAAGAGCUUGCUCUUACGGGUGGCGAGUGGCGGACGGGUGAGGAAUACAUCGGAAUCUACUUUUUCGUGGGGGAUGACGUAGGGAAACUUACGCUAAUACCGCAUACGACCUACGGGUGAAAGCAGGGGAUCUUCGGACCUUGCGCGAUUGAAUGAGCCGAUGUCGGAUUAGCUAGUUGGCGGGGUAAAGGCCCACCAAGGCGACGAUCCGUAGCUGGUCUGAGAGGAUGAUCAGCCACACUGGAACUGAGACACGGUCCAGACUCCUACGGGAGGCAGCAGUGGGGAAUAUUGGACAAUGGGCGCAAGCCUGAUCCAGCCAUACCGCGUGGGUGAAGAAGGCCUUCGGGUUGUAAAGCCCUUUUGUUGGGAAAGAAAAGCAGCAGGUUAAUACCCCGCUGUUCUGACGGUACCCAAGGAAUAAGCACCGGCUAACUUCGUG